UACGGAGGGGGCGAGCGUUAUUCGGAAUUAUUGGGCGUAAAGGGCGCGUAGGCGGCCUUGCAAGUCAAAGGUGAAAUCCCUCGGCUCAACUGAGGAACUGCCUUUGAAACUGCAUGGCUUGAGGCCGGGAGGGGGUAGCGGAAUUCCCAGUGUAGCGGUGAAAUGCGUAGAUAUUGGGAGGAACACCAGUGGCGAAGGCGGCUACCUGGACCGGUUCUGACGCUGAUGCGCGAAAGCGUGGGUAGCAAACAGG
rnacentral:rRNA from 1 species